rnacentral:rRNA from 1 species
GACGGAGGAUGCAAGCGUUAUCCGGAAUGAUUGGCGUAAAGCGUCCGCAGGUGGCAGUUCAAGUCUGCUGUCAAAGACCGGGGCUUAACUUCGGAAAGGCAGUGGAAACUGAACAGCUAGAGUAUGGUAGGGGCAGAGGGAAUUCCUGGUGUAGCGGUGAAAUGCGUAGAGAUCAGGAAGAACAUCGGUGGCGAAGGCGCUCUGCUGGACCAUAACUGACACUCGAGGGAGCGAAAGCUAGGGAGCAAACAGGAUAGAU